AUUGAACGCUGGCGGCAUGCUUUACACAUGCAAGUCGAACGGUAACAGGUUAAGCUGACGAGCGGCGAACGGGUGAGUAAUGCAUCGGAACGUGCCCGAUCGUGGGGGAUAACGCAGCGAAAGCUGCGCUAAUACCGCAUACGAUCUGAGGAUGAAAGCGGGGGACCGUAAGGCCUCGCGCGAUCGGAGCGGCCGAUGUCAGAUUAGGUAGUUGGUGGGGUAAAGGCCCACCAAGCCGACGAUCUGUAGCUGGUCUGAGAGGACGACCAGCCACACUGGGACUGAGACACGGCCCAGACUCCUACGGGAGGCAGCAGUGGGGAAUUUUGGACAAUGGGCGAAAGCCUGAUCCAGCAAUGCCGCGUGCAGGAAGAAGGCCUUCGGGUUGUAAACUGCUUUUGUACGGAGCGAAAAGGUCCUUUCUAAUACAAGGGGCUCAUGACGGUACCGUAAGAAUAAGCACCGGCUAACUACGUGCCAGCCGCCGCUGUAAAAC
rnacentral:rRNA from 1 species